AUACUUAUUUUGCAUAGGAGAUACCAUGGUCAUGAAGAUUGUUCUCCCAGGGUUAGGUUCAUUCAUUGCAUUCUGGGUAUGCUGACCCCUGUGAUUUCCCCAAAUGUGGGAAACUCACGUACGGCACGAUGAUACAUGAGGGUUGAAGCCAACUUUGACCCACU